GCUUGCUUAAUUAAGUUCCUCUCUCUCUCAAGUGUUAAUUGUGUGCUUGGUGGAGGCCACGGCUUGAGCUCGGAUCGACGUUGACGUUGCGCCGGAAAGCCGUUCGAGCGUAUGGACGUCGCGGUUGCGUCGUUGGAGGCCGGGCGAGCGCGUGAUUUCCUCUCCUUUCGACUUCUCGCCGUGGUUGGAUUAGCGUUUCGAGAUGGAUUGAAGUUUACCGAAAUCGCCGGAACAUCUCCUAAGUUUUUAUAUCGUCAACAUAUAUCAUGUGUUUAAUUUCUUGCUAGUAUUCAAAUUCAUGUAUUAGGCUUAAAAUCUGAAUUUGGAGUUAAGUAGUAGUAGUAUAAUUUUAUAUGUUGGACUUGAAAUUGACUUAGGAGAAAACUGUAGAUCCUACACUGUCAGUUUCUGAAAACUAUUAGAUUUAGUUUUAGAAGCUGUGGUUUAUUUGUAUUGCCGCAGUUUGUAUGCGGUAGAUACCUAGAUUAGUGUAGGAUCAGUUUACGCUCGUGUUGGGAUGUCGAGUUUAUUUUACAGUAGCGUGUAGACUGUUUCGGGUUGUCGGGUGCCAUCGCAGUUGACGGUGGAUCCAGAUUUCUGUAUUUGCAUCAGAUUGUGCCAAGGGCAAGUGAGCUUUGGUUGUUAGACCCAUAUGCUUUGAUUACAGCCUGUGAGAGCCUGAUUGAGCUCGGCAGAGACACGCUUGUAUACUCGGUUGGGUAGCACAGACGAGUGCCACUCCGGAGUUGGGUUUUGUGUUUUUGCGUUGUUUCGCAGCAGUCCUAUUUGGACAGUGCUUUAGGACCGGCCACCUCAAUGGUGGUGUGCGGUAUAGCUCGGACGCAGGCGGGACGGGCCUGUUGGCAGUCCCGUGAUAGUAUAGUCGUUGUUGUAGCAGAUGCAUAUCUACAGAUAGCUAGAGUUGGCUAGUGAUAGUAUAGGGACAUAUAGCUGUAGGGUUUCCAGCUUUCUUUACUAUCUCUUGCAUACGAUUCUGUAAACUUAGUGGGUGAGCCGUUGAGGUCGGUAAAGGUACCCACUGAGGACUAUUUCUUUUUGCAGUAGUUCUCACACCCCGUUGUUGAUCCCUUUUUGCAGAGCUUUUUUCUGCGGCUGCUGCUGUCGCUGAUACUGAUCGUGGAAAGGGAGUCGCGAGUUAGAUCCCUUCCCUGGUUGCAGUUCUAGAGAAGUACAAACUACAGGUAGUUUUGGAUUUUUGGUUCAUGUACAUACUUUUGCUGGUACUCACUGGGGCGAGUGAUGUUUGUAUCUUGGAGACUUUGUAUGUAUAGUGAACCUGAUAUUUAUUUAUAUUCAGUUCUGUUAGCAGCCCUAUACUACUGGUUGUAGUUUUGUAUAAUUACAGGUAUAGCUAUCGCUUCGUAUACAUAAAAAAUUCUUUUGUAUACGGCGGGUCUGUUAGCGUGCCCAGAAAAACGCGGUAAUCCGGGUCGUGAUAGUUAUAUUACGGUUUAAACCUCUUUUUAUUUAAAUUUUUGUUUACAAUUCCCAGACAAUGUAGUGCACCUGGUUCAAGCAAAAGAUUUUUCUUAAAAUUUUAAAUUAAAUUUAAAUUUAAAUUUAAAUUUUAAAUUUUCAAUUGUAAACUCUUUUAUCUUCCAUAAUAUUUCUUACAAUCUAAGGCCCAGUUUCCAAGUUGUUCAUAAUAUUGAAACUGUGACACCCAAAAUUUGGAAUAGAUAUAUAUAAAGUAUAAUAGGACUAAAAUCUUCUAAUCGGAGUAUAUCAUUUUGGGUGGUAGCUAGGCUUUGGAGGUUAACGGGGUUAAGAGUGCUGGGGCUAAAAUGGCGGAGCGUUAUAGUUGGUAUUAGAGCUAAUUAAUCACCGGCCGAAAGCAUGAAUAAGUCUCGACUGAUUCAGG
rnacentral:lncRNA from 1 species